rnacentral:sRNA from 1 species
UCUGGCAAUUAACUAUGUUUUUCUGAGUAAUUCUGCUGCCACUACAAAUUACUCGACUUUAUAAGUCAAUUACAUUUCUCUAUCUUUUAACUUUGCCACCACGUUACAGUAUAUAUUCUCUAAUGCUAUGUGAGUAAACGGAGAAUCCUAAUAUGUCAUGUAACUUGUUUAUCAACUUAACUCUGCCACCACUAUAAAUAACUCAAUCACACAACUCUACUGAAUAUAUCUCUACCACGUAACUCAAUUAAUUUAUUAACUUUACCAUGUUUCAUUAACCCUACCGUCACUACAGCGAUAGACUUAUGUUAUGGUGUGCUUUUUCGCGGGCGAAAUACAGUUUCUCUCACUGACAUGACAUCAUCUUUUAAGGAAGAUUUGCAAAAAUAUCAUUUUUCUACUAUCCUUUUGCUACAAUACGCUUUUUUUGUUGACCAUUUUUAAACAUAUAUCUUUUCUUGAACAAAAAAAAAACAAAUUACCCAUCAUCUAAUGAUCAACAAUUCGUACAACACAUGACAGUAAUAAACAGACUUUUAUGUGUUGUUUGAGUAACUCACCCAAAAAAAUAUCGUAGACCAAACAACUUAUUUAUUUUAAUUUAAGUAUAAUGAUUUGUUUUAUUUUGAAUUGAUUUUAUUAAUUAUUAGAGAUGUGUUCUUUUUAGAGUCGUGUGACUCUCCCUUUGACUCUUUUAGAAAACAACUAAAUAUUAUAAUUAUGAGUAAUUAAAACGGGAUGAUUGUAAAAUUCCCAAAUUCUCAAUUAAAAACAAUAUUUUUUUGGUUAAUUUUUUUCUUUUCUAGAGUCUUCUCCGCAAAUCUCGUUAAUGGUUUUUAAACCGGUGACAGUAGCUGCUUAAAAAUAAUGUAAGGAUGGUGUCGCUAUUAAUUCCGACAACUCUAGAAUUUUGAUAUUCAAGCCGCAUCAGCGACAAUAAUGUAAGAAUUUCGAUUUUGGGAAUCUAGGGUUUUCGAUUAAGAGACUUUUUAACGAUAUGCCUUAACUGACUUAAUCAACACGAAUUCGUGAUCAAAUCGAAAGUCAACAUAAAAUUGAGGAUUGAAAUCACUAAAUCAAAACUUAUGCUUUAAACCAAUAAAAACUAAUGAUUUAGAUGACAUUUUUAAUUUUUUCCUUUUUUUU